GUGAGGAAUUUUCCGCAAUGGGCGAAAGCCUGACGGAGCAAUGCCGCGUGAGGAUGAAGGCCUAUGGGUUGUAAACUUCUUUUCUCAGAAAAGAAUUAUGACGGUAUCUGAGGAAUAAGCAUCGGCUAACUCUGUGCCAGCAGCCGCGGUAAGACAGAGGAUGCAAGCGUUAUCCGGAAUGAUUGGGCGUAAAGCGUCUGUAGGUUGUUUAAAAAGUAUUCUGUCAAAGAUUAGGGCUUAACCCUAGAUAGGCAGAAUAAACUUUUAAGCUAGAGUUUGGUAGAGGCAGAGGGAAUUCCCGGUGGAGCGGUGAAAUGCGUAGAUAUCGGGAGGAACACCAAAGGCGAAGGCACUCUGCUGGGCCAAUACUAACACUGAGAGACGAAAGCGAGGGGAGCAAAUGGGAUUAGAUACCCCGGUAGUCC
rnacentral:rRNA from 1 species